GCCAAGGUGAUGUAGUGGUUUGGAAGUUGGACUAGGACACUGGAGACCAGGGUUCAAAUCCCUGCUAGUCCA